CUUUAACUCAACCUACAAGAUUUAGCUUUGUUCUGAUUCUCUCCCCCAUCCCACUGCGGGGGUGUGAGUGAACAACUCUCUGUAGAUUAUCUGCCUGCCGGGUUGACCACGAGUGUCCUGUCUUCAACAGUGCCAGCCUCCCAGAGAAAGAGGGUAAAACAAGAUAUUUCCUAAAUGAACUUUAUGUGUUCCACUCCAGAGGAGUGUCUUAAGCAAUUUAAAUCACAUGGGAUAAGAUUCAGUGAAAGAUUUGGAUGUAAGUACCCACAUGUGAGCAUUCCAUGGAAACUAAGACUAACUCCACGUGAUACACAAAAACUAGAAAGAAUUUAGCUGGAACUGCCAGUCUUUUUCAGGAUGAGCUCUUUCACUUUCUAGGCUCCUGUAAAUACAUGGAUCUGCACUACCCUGAGUGGCACAGGAGCUCUGACAUCUCCUCCACCUGUAGAUAUCUAUAACAAAGUUCUAAAUUUAGAAUCAUAGAACCAUAGAAUGGAUAGGGUUGGAAGGGACCUUAGAGAUUUUAUAAUUCCACCCCUCGCUGCCAUGGACCAGGGGUUGCUCAAAGCUCCAUCCAGCCUGUCCUGACCAUCUCCAGGACUGGGGAGUCCACAGCCUCUCAGGUGUCUUCACCUAUGGCUCACUCAUACAUCUAAACAUGGACAUCAUGGACAAAAGCCUGUUUUCCCAUAAUAAUAAUCUUCUUGUGUCAGCAGAGACAGAGAAACAAGAAAUGAGCAUUGUUACAGAGAACAGGAUUAGACAACUGAAGGAAACUCCCACCCAUUUUGAGGAUCUCUUGUGCAUGCAGACAUUCCAACCUAGAAGGACAUCUCAUAUCAAAAGUGUCAUGCAUGUGCUGGCAAUGGAGAAUGAAGCUGUUAUUUCUCUUUAUUUCUGGAAGAACUUAGCUACUCUAUAUGCAUGACAGGUGUUCCCAGGGAGUCAAGUCACUGUAGCCAUAGCCAAAGUGAAAAGUCGAAUCUCUGAUGUGAUUUACAGCUUAAAACACAUGAUAAAGGUGCUGCAGCCCUUCUAAAAUUGAUUGUGUGUCCGGGAGAGAAAGUGGCACCUCAUUUGUCCUUGUUCAUUUCAAUAAACUCAGAAUUAG
rnacentral:lncRNA from 1 species